rnacentral:rRNA from 1 species
UGAGUUUGAUCCUGGCUCAGGACGAACGCUGGCGGCGUGCUUAACACAUGCAAGUCGAACGAGAAUCACCGGAAAGAGGAUUCGUCCAAUGGAAGGUGAGGAAAGUGGCGGACGGGUGAGUAACGCGUGAGGAACCUGCCUUGGAGAGGGGGACAACAGCUGGAAACGGCUGCUAAUACCGCAUAACAUAUCUGAAUCGCAUGGUUUGGAUAUCAAAGAUUUAUCGCUCUGAGAUGGCCUCGCGUCUGAUUAGCUGGUUGGCGGGGUAACGGCCCACCAAGGCGACGAUCAGUAGCCGGACUGAGAGGUUGAACGGCCACAUUGGGACUGAGAUACGGCCCAGACUCCUACGGGAGGCAGCAGUGGGGAAUAUUGGGCAAUGGGCGCAAGCCUGACCCAGCAACGCCGCGUGAAGGAAGAAGGCUUUCGGGUUGUAAACUUCUUUUAAGGGGGAAGAGGAGAAGACGGUACCCCUAGAAUAAGCCACGGCUAACUACGUGCCAGCAGCCGCGGUAAUACGUAGGUGGCAAGCGUUGUCCGGAUUUACUGGGUGUAAAGGGCGUGUAGCCGGGUCUGCAAGUCAGAUGUGAAAUCCAUGGGCUUAACCCAUGAACUGCAUUUGAAACUGUGGAUCUUGAGUGCUGGAGGGGCAAUCGGAAUUCCUAGUGUAGCGGUGAAAUGCGUAGA